AGCUCCAGGUUAGUUCGGGCUAGAGCGUCCGGUGAGGGUGGAGGGAGCCACGAGUUCUUUGCUAGAGGAAGACCAAAGACUAGGUUGUAGGAAAAGCAAAUAGAAGCCAUGUUUCGGAGACCUGUAUUACAGGUGUUUCAUCAGUUCGUGAGACAUGAGUCUGAAAUAGCCAGCAGCUUGGUUCUUGAAAGAUCUCUGAACCGUGUGCAGCUCCUUGGGCGAGUGGGUCAGGACCCCGUCAUGAGACAGGUGGAAGGGAAGAACCCGGUCACAAUAUUUUCUCUAGCAACGAAUGAGAUGUGGCGGUCAGGGGAGAGUGAAGUAUACCAAAUGGAUUUAGGUGAUGUCAGUCAAAAGACGACAUGGCACAGAAUAUCAGUAUUCCGACCAGGCCUCAGAGAUGUGGCAUAUCAGUAUGUGAAAAAGGGGUCCCGUAUCUAUGUGGAAGGGAAAGUCGACUAUGGUGAAUACACAGAUAAAAACAAUGUGAGGCGACAGGCAACAACAAUCAUAGCUGAUAAUAUUAUAUUUCUGAGUGACCAGACCAAAGAAAAGGCAUAGAGUGGACGAUUCUUCUUUGGCCAUUGUUUGGAACAGUAGAAAAGGAAUUGCCGUUUCCUCAUAUCAGCCGUCUUUUUUCCUGCAGCUGGGACCAUUAAUCAGUACAUGAACUCUGCUUUGUGAGUUUAUACGUUAAAACUGUCUGGUGAUGUAGCCCUCACUUCUUUAUGCCACAUUCCUUAAGGAAAAUGUAGAUAAAAUUGAUCUUUGGGCAACUCUUCGUUAGCAAAAGCUGCUUUUAUACUCCUUAAAAGUUGUGAGAAGUUCUGCAGAUUAGUAUACCUGUUUAAAUAGUGUGAUGAAUCUGUGCUUUGGGAAGGUAAUAGGUGAACAGAUCAAUUCAGUGACCAGCCCAGAGCAGCUCUGAGUCCAGGGCGCAGGGGCAGAAAGGUGCACCCCGCCGGAUCCCUGUGAGCCGAAGGCGUCGCCGCCCUCCCGCUGCAGGUUGCCUGGAAGGCUCUGAGGUUGGGCAGCAGGGCCUUCAGAGGCGGGCGUUCGGUGCAGAGGCCUCGGCACGAGGCUGAUGGUGUGGAUGUGAGGUCCGCAACUGGGCAGCUCCCAGAGCAUGGACUCUGCCCUUCCCUUCCUCGGGCAGCCCUGGGUGCUGAGAACUCUGUACCUCUCCCAAGCUGCUCUCGGAGUAGAUGUGUGGAACCUGGUAGCUUUAACAGUCGGUAGGGGUCUUGUAGCCCCACGUUUUGUGUCUUGCAUUCCCUUUGUCAUCUUUUCACGGUGUCAGGGAAUAUUCCUGUGGAAAACUGCCAUGUGACUUUGAUUUUGGGAUUCCACGUUGGGUGGGAAGAUGAGUAGGAUACACGGAGGUGUGGGAGAGAAGGUAGCAGCACGUGUGGUACUCUCCCAUUUUUGAAAAAGAAGUAAUAGAUAUGAAUAUAUGUUUAGUAAAAGUCUGGGAGGAGAAACAUCAAAAGGUUGUGAUGAUCUCUGGAUGGGGGGAUUAUGUGUGAGUUUCCUUAUUAUUCUUACGGUUUUUUAGCCUUGAGCUUAUAUUACUUUUGACAAUAAAAACCAAAUAAACUGUUUUCACUUUUGGAAAACAAAAAUCUUUCUGUUAUUUCCAAGCCAGGCUGGCACUGCUGAUUGACCUUCAUUUAGUACUUACUGCUUGCUGUCCUAGAGGCGAACAAGAUAUCUUUCAUGUAUUUCCCUCCAUUGUCUGCAUCUUUGUAGUGCAUGCUCAGAUACUUCACUUACCUUUUUUUCCCUUCUUUUUCUUUUCUUUUCCUCUUAAUACGUGUAUAUAACCUACAACAAUUGACUUUAAAGACCAACCCGUAUGAGAUCCACUGUUUGCUGUCAGUAGUUUUCAAAGAGUCAUUCAUUUCUUAAAAACGACUGGGCAGUUGACCCAGAGACAUCCAAAAAUACCAAAGACAUGUUUUUGUGGCUGUUUUGGGGAUUUCUUGUCAUUGCCAACUGGGUUGCAGCCUAACCUUUGCAGCUCAGGAGGAAUUAUUGGUGGUUUCCCUUUGUUCCCCAAAGAGAUUGUGCAGUUCUUGAAGGUGGGCUUAUCUUUUACUCAGACUACCCGUUUGUCCCUGUCCAGCUUAGCCUAGCAAAGUGACAUUAUAGGGCUUUCAAAAUGUUUGGUUGGAUUGCACUGAAACAUUGACAUGAAAAUGAAGGCAGGCUCACUUUACUUAUUUUUCUGUCAGGGUUUGCAUUAAGUGCUGUGAAGCUUGGUGGGAGUAACAGCAAGCAAAUCGUUGUAGAAAACUUCGUGAGUUACAGAGAAAUCUCUUAGGGAAAACAAUGACCAUAUUGAAGGCUGACCUUUUUGUGUAUGUACUAGGUGCCAGGCCCUGAGCUCAGUGCUUUUUAUCAUUGUCUCAUUUCACUAUUACCCUAAGAGGUGGUAUUAUCCUGAUUUUGCAGGUGAGGAAACCUGAAACUGCGUGGUUAAGUAACAUGUCAAAGUCAUGCAGCUUAUAAGAGGCACAGCUGGAGUUUGAGUGUAGUUAACUGUUGCUAAGGGGGUAGAAGCAGACGCCAUUUGGUGGUGCUUCCAGGAAAGCUCCUUAAAUGGUUAGCUCUGUUGGGAGGCUCAUCCUUUGUGCUUCUCCAGACCCUCACCUGGCUUUUUCUGGUCUGAAAUGUGGACAUGAUGGCUGAGAAUCUCCAGUAGCCAUUUUAGACCACAAGACUAUCUGCAGGAUGGAAGAUGGAAGAGGCUGGAGUCCGUGAUGACCAUGGAGCCACCAUCGCGAUCCUGGACAGUCUACCUCUGGACUUCUUUGGGAGACACAAAUAAAUCUCUACCUUGUUUAAGCCA